rnacentral:rRNA from 1 species
UACAGGAGGGUGCGAGCGUUAAUCGGAAUUACUGGGCGUAAAGCGCGCGUAGGCGGCUUUGCAAGUCGAGUGUGAAAUCCCCAGGCUUAACCUGGGAACUGCAUUCGAGACUGCAUGGCUAGAGUAUGGGGAGAGGGAAGUGGAAUUUCAGGUGUAGCGGUGAAAUGCGUAGAUAUCUGAAGGAACAUCAGUGGCGAAAAGCGACUUCCUGGACCAAUACUGACGCUCAUGUGCGAAAAGCGUGGGGGAGCAAACAGG